AUACAUCACUUGCAGUUCUUACGUCUCUUCUUCGUUUGAGACUUGGGAAUUGGGACUCGAAAACAAACGACAUGAUGCAAAGGCUCACUAUUGAUUGACCUUCCUUUGCUCUACUUAUACUUUCUCUGGUCUUUACUGCACAUUUGAGCCUCAGCAACCCGACCUCCUCCUCCUUUUCUUCCUCCUCUUACCUUUCUCUCUUCUACUAUACUCUUUCUACACAACAAAGCCUCUCUCUCUCUCUCUCUCUCUUUCUUUCACUGACAGAAGAAGAGAGUUCNNNNNNNNNNNNNNNNNNNNCUACUACUACUUCUUACUACACAACAACGACCUCUCUCUCUCUCUCUCUCUUUCUUUCACUGACAGAAGAAGAGAGUUCGUGCUGAUUAGUUCCACAACAAAAGUAAGAAGCAGAGACAAGGAAGGGAUGACCAACACCUCUGGUUUCUUUGAAGCUGCUGAGUAACACUACGUCGUUUUCUUCCU
rnacentral:lncRNA from 1 species